UACGAAGGGGGCUAGCGUUGUUCGGAUUUACUGGGCGUAAAGCGCACGUAGGCGGAUCGUUAAGUCGGGGGUGAAAUCCUGGAGCUCAACUCCAGAACUGCCUUCGAUACUGGCGAUCUCGAGUCCGGAAGAGGUGAGUGGAACUCCUAGUGUAGAGGUGGAAUUCGUAGAUAUUAGGAAGAACACCAGUGGCGAAGGCGACUCGCUGGACAGACAUUGACGCUGAGGUGCGAAAGCGUGGGGAGCAAACAGG
rnacentral:rRNA from 1 species